rnacentral:lncRNA from 1 species
AGUAACUUUCUUCGGGGCGGUAAGAACGCCGACGAAGAGAGGAGGACGCGUUCGCAUGGCGGAAAGGGAGUGGAAGGGGGAGAGGGAGAAAAGGAGUUAGGAAAAACGGACGAGGCUCUACAACUUCGCUAAUUGCCGCAUCACUCAGCGAUUCUUUAUUUCUCGUAAAUUGCGCUCCUCAACGCAAAGGCAUUGAAGAAUUGAGCAACUGAUGGUUUGGAGAAACUUCCCUGCAAGGAAAACAAUUCACAAUGAUUCGGGUUGAUGCCGGUUAUAAAUCGAAGAUGAAGAACCGAUAGAUCAAGAUCGUGGAACAUCGCAUAAAUAAUCAAUUGGCAAUUGGAACGCUAGUCAAAAUCCUGUAACUUAAACAUGCUACAGGUGUAGAUACACUGGAAGCUUGGAAAGCCGACGAGAUGAAAUUCUUGCUUGCUGAUCAGUCAGCGGCGUUUAUUUUCUCCAACGCACCAAGCACACGAACACGUGAUGAUGGCAGAGGCGAAACCGCGGCGUACGACAGACGGGGAGAAAGCUUGGAUCGUCGGGGGCCGUUUCAUUAGUGUCAACCCCUGGAGUCGCGCAUGUUUCAACCGAAAUUACAGCGGCCACACCACGUGACGACAUUGCAGGCAUCGGCUGCCAUGGGGAACUUUCCGUUUGACUUCUUAGACCCGUUUUACUUCUCGUUGUUGUACCUUACUGCCUGUUUCUCUUCUUGCAGACGAAACGCCCGCGGCCGAUUCACCCGUCACUUUCGGCCCGCGAUCGCGUCGCGGCCAAAACGUCACUCUCGAUCGAGAGGGUUGAUCAAGGAUUUAUACCAAUUAUCUUCAAAGUCAUGAAAUUUCACGUCCAAUAAAAAUCAGCCGUUAAUGCACCAUCGAGUCAUUCGGACCUUGGAGAUGACACGAUGAACAUUGCAGUGUCCUGAAAUGUAUCAGGGCGAACCGUCGGACAUUUAUAUUACAUGCCAUUUUGAAUGUCCCGCCAACACUGACAACAGCUUUGCAGCUGCUCUGCAUCACCUGCACUUGCAGGUUAAGGGACUUCGUCAAAUCAUCGAAACUUCAUCCCCUCAAUCGGGUGUACAGUAAUUGUGAAAUUCAUUCACAUCCUUUACAGUAAUGCGAAUAAGAAUUCACUGGUCUGUCCGUGAUUGUAUAAUUUAUUGAAGCGAUAAUGUAUUUCCUUGUUUCCUACUCUAUUGUAGGUGUUUGCAAGCAAAAGUCCGUCACUGGGUGGUCUUAGACUACUUUUAUCACCACAGCCUUACGCCGCGUGGACUUCAUAAAUUAUGACGGUGACUUAUGCAAUUCAAUGCUAGCAAUCUCUCUUACUUAUGUACGUAAAUGGAGUAACUCAUGACUUGACAAAUAUACUGUCCUUCGAUCAGAUGACUGUAUUUCCGUCAGGCCAAACAAAUACAUCUAUCCUCUUGCAAUUUAAUCUUUUAGCAUAAAAAAAUAGAAAAAAAAAUCUGCAAAGUUUGUGAAACCCAAUUUUAAUAGAAGCCUUAUUAAAUUUUCGUAAAUAAUAAUCAUUUUCAGGUAAAAGAUAGUCAUUGUAAAAAUUUUCUGCAUCAUUUUAUCAUACAAGACGACAUUAUGCCUCUAAAAUACACGCAUGUCAUACCCAAUGGUAAUUGUUGCGUCAGAGCUAUUAAAUUCAUUCGUUCGUUCGUUCGUAAUCUACACAUUCCAACAAGUGCUUAUGCAGAUCUAUCGACGCGAUAAAUAUCUAAGUAAGAGUGAUGGACGUCACUCACGCCUGCUAAUGGUGUCGACUGUAACUCACAACAGUGUAGAAAGCGCGAAAUUAGCUAUUGUGUAAGUGUCAAGUUCACUCAAUUUUGAAUGUAUCUC